rnacentral:rRNA from 1 species
GAUGAACGCUGGCGGCGUGCCUAAUACAUGCAAGUCGAGCGAAUGGAUUGAGAGCUUGCUCUUAUGAAGUUAGCGGCGGACGGGUGAGUAACACGUGGGUAACCUGCCCAUAAGACUGGGAUAACUCCGGGAAACCGGGGCUAAUACCGGAUAACAUUUUGAACCGCAUGGUUCGAAAUUGAAAGGCGGCUUCGGCUGUCACUUAUGGAUGGACCCGCGUCGCAUUAGCUAGUUGGUGAGGUAACGGCUCACCAAGGCAACGAUGCGUAGCCGACCUGAGAGGGUGAUCGGCCACACUGGGACUGAAACGCGGCCCAGACUCCUACGGGAGGCAGCAGUAGGGAAUCUUCCGCAAUGGACGAAAGUCUGACGGAGCAACGCCGCGUGAGUGAUGAAGGCUUUCGGGUCGUAAAACUCUGUUGUUAGGGAAGAACAAGUGCUAGUUGAAUAAGCUGGCACCUUGACGGUACCUAACCAGAAAGCCACGGCUAACUACGUGCCAGCCGCCGCGGUAA